rnacentral:lncRNA from 1 species
GUUCUAAACCCCUCUGCCAAUAACAGCAAUUUGCCACUUUUUCAUUGAAAUCUAUUACAGUAAUGUACUUAAUUGUUAUCCAGAAGUGAUUUGACAUUGGGCCUUUAAGUAGCUACCUUUUUGCACGUCUGAGUACCAUAAAACAGUCUUAUGUGUUUGGUUAUACUGUAGCGGCAUGAGUCAUGAUGUCAACAGUCCUCCUAUACAGUAUGAGUCAUGAUGUCAACAGUCCUCCUAUACAGUAUGAGUCAUGAUGUCAACAGUCCUCCUAUACAGUAUGAGUCAUGUCAAGCUGAACAGGAUCAUCUUUUUUCUACAUGAGAACUACAGCCUCUAGUUUCCCAGGACUUGAGCCUGAACCCAGGACUCACUGGAAAACAGUAAACAACAGUGGGACUCUGGCCACCUUCUCGCUUCCUCCACGGAUGACCUACCCAGUCCAGAUCCCUGCAGGGGUCACAAUGCAGACAGCCUCUGGCCAGCUUUACAAGGUCAACAUCCCAGUGAUGGUGUCCCAGGCUCCAGCCGGCCACAGCCCUCUCCCCUCAGCUCCAGAAGGGGGUACCUGUAGUGGAGCAGAGCGAUCCCAGCUCAGCUUCCCAGCAGUCAGCUAUGGUGGUCCCUUCUACUGUCCUCAAGACCAUGACCCCUCCGAAGACAGAACCGUUCUCCCCACGGACUGUGGCCCCUCCCACAGCUCUACCUCAGACACCAGAGCAGAAGACCCUGAUACGUCCAGUCCAGUUGAUGCCUCCGGUCCAGCCACCUGAUGAGAAGCCCGUGCUACCCAAACCCAUGGUCCAGCCCCCAGUUCAGGAGAACCAUCUCCUUCAGCAGCCACAGGUUCCUUUAGCUCAAGCACGCUUUUCUGUACAGACUCCAGUGUCCUUUUAUUUCCCGUCCCAACCGCCAUCUCACCCCCCAGAGAGCCCUUUUGACAGUGGUGAUUUCAAUCUGGAUGGGAUUGACUUCGACAGUCCACAGCCACAGCAGCUAGACAUGAGCCUGUCCUCAUCCCUCUCCUCUGGCUCCGCCCAGAUGCCAAAGCCUUCAGGCAAAGUCUUAUAAAAAAGAUGGUGAACAGGAGGACAACACACCUGAGCAGGAUAUAACAGACCUGGAGGGUCUACCUGUGUAUGCUACCAAGCUGGAGAUGACCCUGUUGAAAGACUACAACUUCAACGAUGCUCUGGCAGACAUCAUCCACCUGAACAGCAGUUCUGAUGUGGAGGAGUUGGAGGAGGUGAUGGAAGGAGGUGCAAUGGGAGAGAAUGAGUUUCUAGGUAUGAUCACUGCGGAGGCUCUGCAGGCCCUACAGGAGGCAGAGGGCAGCAGCGAUGAUGGCAACUCCAGCUCCAGUGGUGACGGUGUCUGGAUGGAUGACUUCCCAGUGGAAGAGGUAAGAAAUGGUUAUUGAGGAAAAGAAGGGCGUCAUGUCCUCUUUGUUUUUCAAAAUAAGUAUUUGGGUCUGGUUUGCCCGACACAGAUCAAGCCUAGUCCGGGAAACUCCUUUGACAAGUCCCCAUGCUGAUGAACCUGUACAAAAAUCAGUAGAUGUUGCCUUUUCAUUGUUUGACAGUAAUCACCUAACACAGUAUUUGGGGCCAAGUAUGCUUUAUUGGCAUGAACAAAACCAGAGCGAUUAACCCAAAACCAGAGCGUUUAAACCUAACACAAAUUAUUGUAUUUUUCUUGUCUAUAUUGAAUACAUAAUUUAAACAUUCACUUUUUCCAACCUACACUGUAUAUGAACCCCUAGGCUAAUGACUUCUCCAAAAGCUAGUUGGAGUCAGGAGUCAGCUAACCUGGAGUCCAAUCAAUGAGACGAGAUUGGAGAUGUUGGUUAGAGCUGCCUUGCCCUAUAAAAAACAGUUUGCUAUUCACAAGAAGCAUUACCUGAUGUGAACCAUGCCUCGAACAAAAGAGAUCUCAGAAGACCUAAGAUUAAGAAUUGUUGACUUGCAUAAAGCUGGAAGGGGUUACAAAAGUGUCUCUGAAAGCCUUGAUGUUCAUCAGUCCACAGUAAGACAAAUUGUCUAUAAAUUGAGAAAGUUCAGCACUGUUGCUACUCUCCCUAGUAGUGGCCAUCCUGCAAAGAUGACUGCAAGAGCACAGCGCAGAAUGCUCAACGAGGUUAUUAAGAAGAAUCCUAGAGUGUCAGUCUACGAUACGUAAAACACUAAACAAGAAUGGUGUUCAUGAGAGGACACCACGGAAGAAGCCACUGCUGUCCAAAAAAAACAUUGCAGCAAGUAUGAAGUUUGCCUAAGUGCACCUGGAUGUUCCACAGCGCUACUGGCAAAAUAGUCUGUGGACAGAUGAAACUACAGUUGAGUUGUUUGGAAGGAACACACAAUACUAAGUGUGGAGAAAAAAAGGUACAGCACCCCAACAUCAAAACCUCAUCCCAACUGUAACGUAUGGUGGAGGGAGCAUCGUGGUUUGGGGCUGCUUUUCUGCUUCAGGGCCUGGACAGCUUGCUAUCAUCGAUGAAAAAAUGAAUUCCCAAGUUUAUCAAGACAUUUUGCAGGAGAAUGUUAGGCUAUCUGUCUGCCAAUCGAAGCUCAACAGAAGUUGGGUGAUGCAACAGGACAACGUCCCAAAACACCGAAGUAAAUCAACAACAGAAUGGCUUCAACAGAAGAAAAUACGCUUCUGGAGUGGCCCAGUCAUAGUCCUGACCUCAACCCUGAGAUGCUGUGACAUGACCUCAAGAGAGCAGUUCACACCAGACAUCCUAGGAAUAUUGCUGAACUGAAACAGUUUUGUAAAGAAGAAUGGUCCAAAAUUCCUCCUGACCGUUGUGCAGGUCUGAUCCGCGACUACAGAAAACGUUUGGUUGAGGUUAUUGCUGCCAAAGGAGGGUCAACCUGUUAUUAAAUCCAAGGGUUCACAUACUUUUCCCACCCUGCACUGUGAAUGUUUACACAGUGUGUUCAAUAAAGAC